GACGUAGGGGGCGAGCGUUGUCCGGAUUUACUGGGCGUAAAGGGCGCGUAGGCGGCUUGUUAAGUGUGGUGUGAAAUCUCCAGGGCUCAACCCGGAAACCGCACCGCAUACUGGCUAGCUUGAGGAACGCAGAGGUGACUGGAAUUCCCGGUGUAGCGGUGAAAUGCAUUGAUAUCGGGAGGAACUCCAAUGGCGAAGGCAGGUCACUGGGCGUCACCUGACGCUGAGGCGCGAAAGCGUGGGUAGCAAACAGG
rnacentral:rRNA from 1 species